rnacentral:rRNA from 1 species
UACGUAGGGGGCAAGCGUUGUCCGGAUUUAUUGGGCGUAAAGAGCGUGUAGGCGGCCAUACAGGUCCGUUGUGAAAACUGGAGGCUUAACCUCCAGACGUCGAUGGAAACCGUAUGGCUAGAGUCCGGAAGAGGAGAGUGGAAUUCCUGGUGUAGCGGUGAAAUGCGCAGAUAUCGUUUGGAACGCCAAAGGUGAAAACAGACAGCUGGGAGUGUGCUGACGCUGAGACACGAAAGCCAGGGGAGCGAACGGG